rnacentral:rRNA from 1 species
GGCCGAAGGAAUAGGGAAAGAGGAUGUAAGCCGAGAGGAGGAGAGGAGGCCACGGCGAAGGCCAGAAGGUCUAACGUCGGUUACCGCGGUGGCCGCGCCGGUAGGUUACGGUGCGAAGAACGCGCCGAGCCCCUCCCGUGCCGGUCCAAGCUCGAGGAGCUCCUGGGGCGUGGACGAGGGCGCGGCGGCCAAACCUGGGCGGAGGUGACGAAGCGGUCCUAACCGAGGAGCGACUCCCCGCCCACCAGCCGCCGCAACUUGUUCCACCUCGUGAUGCCCCAGGUCUCUCAGUGGCCGCUACCGGCCACGUACAAAGCUCGGAACCGAUUCCCUUACCGUUUCUGGUCCCCUUAAGGUAACUGGGGUUCCCUCCUUCAUGUUCUACGUCCAAAACAGAUCUGACACAGCCGUUGGUUAGUAAUAAAUGUAAGGCCUCGCACUCAUGGCGCCUGCCCCGUUGCCCAAGUAGGGUUAACGCCUCAUACCCAACCUCAAAUGGUUUCUGAGCUUUCUCCCCUUCUUUGCCCACGGCCACUCUGAUAAUAUGUCACCCUUCUUGGUAAUACUAAACGACUAUAUUUUACCCGUGUACUCUAGACGGGGCUACUUCAUAGUCUUACGGCCGUCGGUGGCGGGUAGACACCGCGUACGUGUUUACGGGGCAAAUGAAAGGUACCAAUGUAGGAAGCUAGGACGAUACGAGGACGAACAGUCAAUGCUACGACAUUGUCGACAAAGCAGCUAAUGUCAGUACCCGUAAACCCCUUAAACACCUAAACCUCGAUCUUCUUAAUCGUGACUGGACUACUAUCGCGGUGCGCUCGAUUGAUACACGACGACGUACCACGUUACGACAAAACCGUCACCGUCACUAAACCAACCGCACCACGGCACCUCAACAACUAACGCAAAGGCCAACCACGGCCCGUCUUAUUACCACGCAACCAGCGUGAGCGUGAGCCACCAACUGCUAACCUGAACGAAGUUUAGGUUAGUAAUACACUCAUACACUACCAAUAAUCCAUAUAGUAAAACGUUGCG